rnacentral:lncRNA from 1 species
GAGGUUGUUGUGGUUGUUGUGAGGCAAGGUUCUGAGUCUGAAGUUAGGCUAGAGUGGGAGAAGAGGGGUCAGAGUGUUCUGUGUCAGAUGAGAUGACAAAGUAAGGAGGUGAUUCUGGGGAAGAGGAUGAAGAGGUUGUUUCAUUUAGCCUUUCAGCUUCAGAUAGGGGUAAGGAGGUAGAGGUAAGGUUGAAUUUUGGGAGUG